GAUGAAGAACGUAGUGAAAUGCGAUAAGUAAUGUGAAUUGCAGAAUCUCGUGAAUCAUCGAAUCUUUGAACGCACAUUGCGCCCUAUGGAAUUCUGUAGGGCAUGCCUGUCUGAGCGUCAGCAGCAAAAAAAUCAAAAUCUUUGUAGGUAAAGAUUUGGAUUUGGUUAAGAGAUGUAAUCUGUAAAGAACCGGUUACUCUUUUGAAAUUUAAAGGCAGUAUUGAUCAAUCCAACUGUAAACGUGAUAAAACAUUUCGUUUUAUUGUUAGGAAUGAGCUUUUUGCUUGCCUAUAAACCCACUCAUCUUCAUGGGUGACCUCAGAUCAGGUAGGGAUACCCGCUGAACUUAAGCAUAUCAAUAAGCGGAGA
rnacentral:misc_RNA from 1 species